GCUGAUUCAGAUCUGGGGCCUCUGAGGACCAGGCAUCCUCCAGGGUCACGUAGCCCCAGUGUGGCCUGGUCCCCUGGAGGCCUCGGAGCCGCUGACGGACUGUGACGGCCUGGCGCUGGUGCCCCUGGACAGCCCCGACAGGCACCUGAAGCUCCCGGCCAUGCAG